CAGCACCUCAAGUGGUCAGGAUGAUUAUUGGGCCUAAAGCAUCCGUAGUCUGCGCUGUAAGUUUUCGGUUAAAUCUGUACGCUCAACGUACAGGCUGCCGGGAAUACUGCAGCGCUAGGGAGUGGGAGAGGUAGACGGUACUCGGUAGGAAGGGGUAAAAUCCUUUGAUCUAUUGAUGACCACCUGUGGCGAAGGCGGUCUACCAGAACACGUCCGACGGUGAGGGAUGAAAGCUGGGGGAGCAAACCGGAUUAGAUACCCGAGUAGUCC
rnacentral:rRNA from 1 species